UAGGAAUCUACCUAGUAGUACGGAAUAGCCAUUAGAAAUGGUGGGUAAUACUGUAUAAUCCCCGAGGGGGAAAGAUUUAUCGCUAUUAGAUGAGCCUACGUUAGAUUAGCUAGUUGGUGAGGUAAUGGCUUACCAAGGCUAUGAUCUAUAGCUGGUCUGAGAGGACGAUCAGCCACACUGGAACUGAGAUACGGUCCAGACUCCUACGGGAGGCAGCAGUGGGGAAUAUUGGACAAUGGGCGAAAGCCUGAUCCAGCUAUGCUGCGUGAGUGAAGAAGGCCUUCGGGUUGUAAAACUCUUUCAAUAGGGA
rnacentral:rRNA from 1 species